rnacentral:rRNA from 1 species
UCCCUAUGGGGUGCAGCAGGCGCGAAAUCUUUGCAAUAGGCGAAAGCCUGACAAGGUUACUCUGAGUGAUUUCCGUUAAGGAAAUCUUUUGACACCUCUAAAAAUGGUGUAGAAUAAGGGGUGGGCAAGUUCUGGUGUCAGCCGCCGCGGUAAAACCAGCACCUCAAGUGGUCAGGACGAUUAUUGGGCCUAAAGCAUCCGUAGCCGGUACUGCAAGUCUCCCGUUAAAUCCACCUGCUUAACAGUUGGGCUGCGGGGGAUACUACAGCGCUAGGAGGCGGGAGAGGCAAGCGGUACUCAAUGGGUAGGGGUAAAAUCCGCUGAUCCAUUGAAGACCACCAGUGGCGAAGGCGGCUUGCCAGAACGCGCUCGACGGUGAGGGAUGAAAGCUGGGGGAGCAAACCGGAUUAGAUACCCGGGUAGUCCCAGCUGUAAACUAUGCAAACUCAGUGAUGCAUUGGCUUGUGGCCAAUGCAGUGCUGCAGGGAAGCCGUUAAGUUUGCCGCCUGGGAAGUACGUACGCAAGUAUGAAACUUAAAGGAAUUGGCGGGGGAGCACCACAAGGGGUGAAGCCUGCGGUUCAAUUGGAUUCAACGCCGGAA